UCUAACCACUAGGCUACCCUGCCGACUAACAUGGUGACAGAAGUGCUUCAACCUCGUCAAAUAUAAAUCGGCAGAGAUUAUUUCACAGAAAAUAAUGUUCCUUGAGUUUUGUCAGAGUUUAGAGUAAUGAAAAGUAGCUAACAGCUGUCUCUUCAUUGAGCAGAGCAGCCCAAACGGAGCUGUUAAUAUGGAUACUCACAAACUCAUAGCCGCCAUGAGCAGAGCGCAUAGAGAACGAAUUGUGUGCAGAGAGCGAGUGACAGACAGAGCUGAGCAGCUAAUGGAUUUACUAACAGAGGGAGUUAUUUCUGGCAGGGCCUUAAAUUUGGCAGAAGUAAUCGGGCAUUGGUAGGGUAUGGCCUGAAUGUUGUGGGCAUGGGUUGGGCUCUGGCUUAAAAUCAAUGCUUGUGCAGGCCUCUACCUAUAUGCGAGUUAUAUGCGAGUGAAGUAAAUUUGUGAAAAAAAUUAGCAAAGUUGACUUUGGCAAGGUAGAAGAGGAGACUUGAGUUCCAGGAUCCGGUCGAAGUAAACAUUUUAAUACAAAGUUUUUCGGGAUACAAGUAAUCAUGUAAAAAUGCAAAGGCUAACAGCACCAGAGGCUAACAUGGAUGGGAUAACAGCACCAGAGGCUAACAGCACCAGAGGCUAACAUGGAUGGGAUAACAGCACCAGAGGCUAACAGCACCAGAGGCUAACAGCACCAGAGGCUAACAUGGAUGGGAUAACAGCACCAGAGGCUAACAGCACCAGAGGCUAACAUGGAUGGGAUAACAGCACCAGAGGCUAACAUGGAUGGGAUAACAGCACCAGAGGCUAACAGGAUGGGAAAACAGCACCACAGGCUAACAGCACCAGAGGCUAACAUGGAUGGGAUAACAGCACCAGAGGCUAACAUGGAUGGGAUAACAGCACCAGAGGCUAACAUGGAUGGGAUAACAG